rnacentral:rRNA from 1 species
UACGAACCGAGCGAACGUUGUUCGGAAUCACUGGGCUUAAAGGGCGCGUAGGCGGGCUGCCAAGUUUGGGGUGAAAUCCUCCGGCUCAACCGGAGCAGUGCCUCGAAUACUGGCGGUCUCGAGGGAGGUAGGGGCGUGCGGAACUGUGGGUGGAGCGGUGAAAUGCGUUGAUAUCCACAGGAACUCCGGUGGCGAAGGCGGCACGCUGGACCUUUUCUGACGCUGAGGCGCGAAAGCCAGGGGAGCGAACGGG